CACUGACUUUGUUCAGGAAAUAAAAGGAUGAUUGGUUCGGCAAAGUCUCACAGUCAUGCUUCAGUUCACCCCCAAACUCUUUGUGGUUCAUUCUAGGAUGUCUCAGCUGUGGCACUUCAAGGUAGCUCUUGUAUUCCGAGGCAAUUUGCAGGAAGAUUUGGAGUUAAAGGAGAUCUCGGAGGAGACUUUCACUGGGCUUCAUCAUGUCUUUAUUGGUACUGUUCAUCUUACGAUCUAGAGAGGAAGGUGGAAAAAUAUUCAAUACAACAUCUGAUAAAAUGUAAAGAAAGACGGGAUUCUUGAAACUUGAAAACGUUUGGGAAGUGACUGGGCCAUGAAGUCUGUGACCAGUCAAUGCAGAGAUCCAUCACUAGAAUUAUAAUUAGAUGAUACUAUUGAUGACAUAGGAGGGCAGCCUACCUGGAAUCUUCUUCAUCUCCCUCUGGCUACCCUGCGGUAAGCAGCUUCCCCGCAACACCCCCUCACCUCCGUGUCCAUUUGCCAUGACGAUUUUGCUUUGCCACAGACCUCAAAGCAAUGGACCCAGCAGGUUAAGAACCAAAUAAAUCUUUCUUCCCUGAAGUUGAUUUUCUCAGCUCUUUGGCCACAGGGUUGUAUGUGAGUAACACAUUUGUUUAUAUAUGGUAAUCAAAUAAGUCCCCAUCCCAAAG